UACAGGCUCAACUCUCUAUCACUCACAUAAGUUAAUUCUUCCGAUUUCUCUAAAUAACACGAUAUCACGAUAGAGGACGGUUAUUGUAUUUUGAAAGUUAAAGAAGAUGUUUGUGUUAUUUAGCUAAAUCUAAAGGGAGUUGAGUGUAUUUUCCUCUUUAUUUUGUUAGACAUUAAUGCUGCCCCGUUAUGAAAAUACAUGCUAAAUUGUUGUUUUCUCAUGAUAUAUAAUUGCUCCACCUUGAUUUCUCCAUUUGUAUGACUCGACUAUGAUUUAUGGUCGUUUUCACGACGUUGUUUUGACAUGCGUAGUUGCUGCCCUGGUUUCUAAGUAGUUGUUAAACUUUGAUUUACCUUGCGGUACUAUGUAUCUAGAAUUGCUAUAACAUCUGGGUGAUGAUUAUUUUUCAGGGGAUAUUAAAGAUUUUCUAAAAGAAUAUCACUAGAGACAUCAAAUUAGCUUACGGUGUGUGGUUCCAGAAGUUUCUGAAUUUCUCUAAAGUUACUUUGAAGUCUCUGGUUUCUAUUUGUACAACGCCGAUUCAAACCUACCCAUCUCCCACAUAAAGUCUAACUCAGAAUUCCUUAGUACCUGAUAGAGAAACCAAGAAGUUUUUGUUUAGCUCAAUUAAGACAUGGAUAAGACAUGGAUGAAUUCAAACCGAUUGUCGAAAGAGUACGAGAAAGGGGUAUGGGAAU